UCUGCUUCAUCUCUCAAACGACGCCCCAGCCCCGAGAGGAGCCGCCGCCGGGGAACGAGAGGAGCCACCGCCUCCAGGUCACUGCUGCCCUCGCACUCGCAUCCAUACCUUCGCCGUCGCCCUCGCGCUCGCGGAUCCCUGAAAUGCCGCCGAUCCGAGACGAGCCGCCGCCGCCGAGGAACGAGACGAGCCGCCGCCUUCAUUGCGGACCUGGGCUAGGGUUCCAUACGCCGCCGCCGUCCCAACCACGAACGCCGACGCCGGUUGUAGCCGUCACGCCGCCAGCCAUCCAUGCCUGGCAGCCGUCACAGCUGGUGCUUCCCUACUGAACGAGCGCCAAGGAGAAACACCGAUGUCUUUCUACAUGGUGGCCGCUCCCCUCGAUCCCCUCCAUCGCCUCCGCCGCCGCCGAGGUACGAGAUCGCCUCCAUCUUGUUCCUUCCCUGGCCAUGCCCCUCCCAAUUUCUUCCCCUCAUCCAGCUAGGGUUCUCACCCGCCGCCGCUUCCCUGCUGCUACCCGCCACCGGAUGCCCUCCACGGACACCACCACCAUGAUGGCAGAAGGAAGAGCAAGAGGGGUCGUCGAGGAUGGGUGCCGUCAUGAGGAUGCUGGCGCCCGUGUGCGGUGAUGGCAUUGUGGCGGAAGAAGGUCUUCUUCCUGGGGAGCCGCUACCAGCCUCCGUCUCCACCCGCGGCCACGCUAACAAGACAGGUUCAGGUUCGAUAUGUCAGGGCUGAAGUACGCUCCUGAGUUAAAGAAAGACCUCGAGAGACUCUGUAGAGUAAUUGUGAUGUAUCCUUCACUUACCGUGCCACGGGGUUGUCGCGGAUAUUGGUGGAGGACUUGGUGGACUAGCGCAAAAUGGAAAUCUAGAAAGAAGUGAAACUAAUCAGCUAUGGUUUUCCUGGAGUAUUUGUGCAACCAGCAGGUCGCCCAUGAGAAAUAUGAUGUUCUUUAUGCAUUUAAAAAACUACUAAAGGGAAAGUUGUGAAUGUUGUAUUGCAGAGCGUAUGCGUCAGAGGCCAGUCGGCAGAGGUGCAUGCAGGUUUGUGCUUGAGGGUGCACGCGAGUCGGCGGCUACAGGCAGAGGGGAGGGUCGUCGAAGAGAAGGACGGCGGCCCGGCCUACACAUGAUGGAACACACAUUGCCGACGAUGCGGUACCAGGCCUGGAGAAGAGAUCCCGAGGUGUUUGAUGAAAUGCCCUCCGUCCGAAAAUACUUGUCAUAAAAAUGAAUAAAAGGAGAUCACAAUGUUGGACACGACCACCUAAGAAUUGAAUAUUUUUAGUUGGAAUACUAUUUUAAUGAUCAAUCACAAUGUUGGACGCGACCACCUACUUAUUCCCGAGACUUUAAGUCUUUGGUGGCUUAAGCACAAUAUGCCCGGCAUAUGUUCUACAUCUGCGGCAUGUAAUGACCCUACUGGCAUUUCAAGAGGUCUGUAAAUACAACAUUCUUCCAAAGUAUUUCCAAGUAAGUGUUCACCUCGUGAGAUUUAUUAAAUGUUUUAGAUAUCUCGCUUGUGAAUGCUCAUCGGUAGCUAAUAUCCUGAGUAUUUUGAUAACGGGUUUAGAUCUGGACAGUUAUUGAGCCUGCAUUGAUGAAAUAGUUGACAAAGCAGGAACUGAAAUGAGGUUACUGAGGCUGCAUUUAAGAAUCUUGGUUGAUGAGGUGAUAUCUGACCAAAAACUCAAGAACUAGAAGCAAGCCUGACAUCCUUUUUCUGUAAUCAGUAUAUUUUAGGUAGCAAGCCUGUCAUCCUUUUCUAUCCACAUGAGGCUUAGGGGCCGUUUGGAUUAGCACCAACGCCGACCCUAUCAAUUUUUUGGCACGCCCCUACGAUUUGGACCCUGUUUGGACCAUCGCCAAAAUAUUGGCUCGCCCCGAAGGCUCAGUGUUACUUCUGCCAACUCGUGGGCGCAUCGCCGAAAUCGGUCGCCAAAAAAUUGGCGAGCACGUCCCUUGCCGGCUGAUACGAGGUUCUCGUGUUAGUUUUUUUUAAUCUCGUAUAGUUUGAACAAUCGUGGUGUCUACUAUGCUUUUCAGAAAGGUGAGUGCAUUUGUGAAGCUUCCUGCAGAGUUUCACAUGAUGAGUAGGUAAAUGUGCUGCUUGUGCGUUUACCAAGUAGUUAUAUAGGAGAGCACACAAGCAACAGACUACAUAGCUUGUGCUAAUUUCCAUGAUAAGUUUUAUCGCAUAUGAAGAAGUUAUAUUGCCAGUUAAGUUAUUAAUAGAAAUUGAGUUGCUUAUCAUUGAGUAAAAGACGUUCCUUUAGAGUAUUUAUAGUUUUAUACUAAUACUUUAUCAAGGUGAUAUGCUGAAGAUUUGUGAUUAUUACAGUAUGGCCUUUACAUUGCUUUGUUCAUGUCUAUACAUGUACUUAACUUGGAUGAGCCAUUAUCUACAAAAUAUAUUUCAUGAACUCCAUAGCAGAUAUCUCGAUUCAAAGUAAUAUAGCCAGAGAUGUUAACAUUUGUUUUUGGAAACACAAGCACUAAUUUUUUUAUUGCAUUUGAACUAGAUAUGGUUGUAUCUUAGAGAUUGUUGCUUUGGACAGGAUUUACUAUAUUUUUGCAGUAGGCUACCUGCUUCUCUGAAUGACCAUUUAAGGAGUGAACAUGAACUGCUGAUGUAUAUGUUCCAUGCUCCAUGGGGAGGGAACAAGGAUUGAUUUUCGCCGGGAGUAGGAAGAGUAUGGUGACUUACUUCUAUGCUUUAAGGGGCUUCCAGAACUACUUGAUUGUGAAACAAGUCACUAGGUACUGCUCAGAUGAAUUAUAUGGAUGGUACCACCAUUCGUCCAAGCUGUAGAAACUCCUAUCCCUGAAUUUCUAUUUAUUGGAACCAUUAGAUUUAUUAGUAUUUUAGUCAUUACGUUUCUACAGAGGCUAUGUGAAGCAAAGAAACUCCUAUCCCUUUUAAAUUUUAAUACAUGUAAAGUACUACAUGUCAGUAAGGAGCUGACACUCUUGGACGGUGAGAAAUUAUUGACGUUUGGUAAUGAGAAAUUAUUGACGUUCGGUAUAGAAAUAUAAUUACAUGAAAAACAAAGUUUAAUUAUUGAUGUCAUUUUUUUUUGGCCAUACCUGCAUAUUUACAACCCUCUUAUCUUUAUUACUACACUGUUCUUUGCUAUACAUGAUAGUUCAGCUAUGA